GUCAGAAUGGCCGAGUGGUCUAAGGCGCCAGACUCAAGUUCUGGUCUCCUGAUGGAGGCGUGGGUUCAAAUUGCACUUCUGACA
rnacentral:tRNA from 1 species